AUGGGCGGUUGCUUCUCUUCGUCCGGGGAGUACGAGGAGUCGGCGGCGGCCGGGUACCGGCGGCCGCAGCGCGUGAGGCCGAGCGACCAGGACGGCAUCUACUACGUCGGCGAGCGGGACGUGGACAACAAGGCCGGCAUCUACAUCGCCAACUUCCACCGCUACCAGUCCGAGGUCGUGCCCAUGACGCCCGCGCCCUCCUCAGCCGCCGCCUGA
rnacentral:rRNA from 1 species